GAUGAAGAACGUAGCGAAAUGCGAUAAGUAAUGUGAAUUGCAGAAUUCCGUGAAUCAUCGAAUCUUUGAACGCAUAUUGCGCCCUCUGGUAUUCCGGAGGGCAUGCCUGUCCGAGCGUCAUUGCAACCUUCAAGCGCGGCUUGUGUGUUGGGUCUCGUCCCCCGUGGACGGGCCCGAAAGGCAGUGGCGGCGUCCCGACAUGGUGCCCGAGCGUAUGGGAAUCCUCUUCCGCUCGAAUCGGCCCAUGCGGCGCUGGUCGUAACCAAAUUUUUUACCGGUUGACCUCGGAUCAGGUAGGGAUACCCGCUGAACUUAAGCAUAUCAAUAAGCGGAGGA
rnacentral:misc_RNA from 1 species